rnacentral:rRNA from 1 species
GACGAACGCUGGCGGCGUGCUUAACACAUGCAAGUCGAACGGAAAGGCCCUGCUUUUGUGGGGUGCUCGAGUGGCGAACGGGUGAGUAACACGUGAGUAACCUGCCCUUGACUUUGGGAUAACUUCAGGAAACUGGGGCUAAUACCGGAUAGGAGCUCCUGCUGCAUGGUGGGGGCUGGAAAGUUUCGGCGGUUGGGGAUGGACUCGCGGCUUAUCAGCUUGUUGGUGGGGUAGUGGCUUACCAAGGCUUUGACGGGUAGCCGGCCUGAGAGGGUGACCGGCCACAUUGGGACUGAGAUACGGCCCAGACUCCUACGGGAGGCAGCAGUGGGGAAUAUUGCACAAUGGGCGGAAGCCUGAUGCAGCGACGCCGCGUGCGGGAUGACGGCCUUCGGGUUGUAAACCGCUUUCGCCUGUGACGAAGCGUGAGUGACGGUAAUGGGUAAAGAAGCACCGGCUAACUACGUG